rnacentral:pre_miRNA from 1 species
UCUUACGGAUGAGCAAAGAAAGUAGUUUCCCGAGAUGAAAACUAUUCCUGGUGUGGAUGCUGUGAA